rnacentral:rRNA from 1 species
UACGUAGGGGGCAAGCGUUGUCCGGAUUUAUUGGGCGUAAAGAGCUCGUAGGCGGUUGGGCAAGUCACGUGUGAAAUCUCCACGCUCAACGUGGAGGCGCCACGUGAGACUGCCCUGACUCGAGUCCGGUAGGGGAGCGUGGAAUUCCCGGUGUAGCGGUGAAAUGCGCAGAGAUCGGGAGGAACACCCGUAGCGAAGGCGGCGCUCUGGGCCGGUACUGACGCUGGAGGAGCGGAAAGCGUGGGGAGCAAACAGG